CAGUAGCCACGGUAAUACGAAGGGUGCAAGCGUUACUCGGAAUUACUGGGCGUAAAGCGUGCGUAGGUGGUGGUUUAAGUCCGUUGUGAAAGCCCUGGGCUCAACCUGGGAAUUGCAGUGGAUACUGGGUCACUAGAGUGUGGUAGAGGAGAGUGGAAUUUCCGGUGUAGCAGUGAAAUGCGUAGAGAUCGGAAGGAACAUCUGUGGCGAAGGCGACUAUCUGGGCCAACACUGACACUGAGGCACGAAAGCGUGGGGAGCAAACAGGAUUAGAUACCCCGGUAGUCCCUGUCUCUUAUAC
rnacentral:rRNA from 1 species